GUCGAUGUACGAUGUAUGCUACUUUUUGCUACUUUUUUCCUUGCUACUUGCUGCUUUGCCACAAAAGUUUCUGGCAACUCUGCUUCGCUUCUUGCCAAUUGAUUUUAUGUUUUUCUUAAGUUUUUCGAAUAUGAUCGGAUGCACUGGGAAGCUAGUAAAUUAUUGUAGGACUAGCUUGCCAUUUCUUCAAAAUAGGAGUAGAAAUAUUGAAAUGAGAAACAUAUGGAGCUGGUUAAACACCAUAUUUAAUAAGUAAGAUUAUUUAUUAAGAAAUAUUGUAAUUAUGGAUUAAGAUCUUUAAGCAAGACAUUUAUGUAGUUCAGAAUGCUAUAACCCCUUGAGUGCUGCCU
rnacentral:lncRNA from 1 species